rnacentral:lncRNA from 1 species
AUGGCUGUCCUGGGUGUGGGUGACACGCAGAGCCCCCAGGCCUCACUGCUCCAGGGGUCUUGGUCCCAGAGAAUGCUCAGAGCUGGUCAGAAAAGGCCCCUAGAACAGCUUGCCAUGGGGCCUUGCCAUGGGGAGGUUGCCAUGGGGCAAGCUGUCCCCUCCCACUGCCAAGAAGGCUCCCUCUCCCUGUGGGCCCGGGGCCAUUCCCACCUUGAGGGAGCCCGGAUGGAGCCCCGAGCUGAGACUUUCUGGGAGGAAGGAAGUGGAGCUUCAGCCGUGGAACCCGCGGUGGUGGCUGACACAGGGCUCAGCCACAGAGCAGUCAGGUUCACCUCCCAGCAGCCCUGGGCUGUGCGUGGACUCCUCCCCUAUGUCGUCGGGGGAGGGGUCCCAGGGUCAGGGCAGACAGAGGAGACUCUGCUCCGGCUCUGCUGGACAAAGACCAGGUGGCGUAGAGGGGUUCUUGAGAGCCUCACCAGGCCUGGGCAGCCUGCAGGGGCACCUUCACUCAUUCAUUCACCCUGUGGGGCCAUCACUCAUUCAUUCACUCUGUGGUGCCUUCACUCAGUCAUUCAUUCUGUGGGGGCCUUCAUUCAUUCAUUCACUCUGUGGGGCCUUCACUCAUUCAUUCACCCUGUGGGGCCUUCACUCAUUCAUUCAUUCUGUGGGGCCUUCACUCAUUCAUUCACUCUGUGGGGCCUUCAUUCAUUCAUUCACUCUGUGGGGCUUUCACUCAGUCAUUCAUUCUAUGGGGACUUCACUCAUUCAUUCAUUCUGUGGGGCCUUCACUCAUUCAUUCAUUCUGUGGGGCCUUCACUCAUUCAUUCACUCUGUGGGGCCUUCAUUCAUUCAUUCACUCUGUGGGGCCUUCAUUCAGUCAUUCGUUCUGUGGAGCCUUUACUCAGUCAUUCAUUCUGUGGGGACUUCACUCAGUCAUUCAUCCUGUGGAGCCUUCACUCAUUCAUUCAUUCUGUGGGACCUUCACUCAUUCAUUCAUCCUGUGGAGCCUUCACUCAUUCAUUCCUUCUGUGGGGACUUCACUCUUUCAUUCACGAUGUGUGGCCUUCACCCAUUCACCCCUCCGUGGGCGUGAGCAGAGAGGUGCUUGCAGGUGAGGCCUGA